CCCUUAGAUGUCCUGGGCUGCACGCGCGCUACACUGAUGUGUUCAGUAAGCACCUAACCUCUUCCGAAGGGAACAGGUAACCUUAGCAAAGCACAUCGUGAUGGGGAUAGAUUAUUGCAAUUAUUAGUCUUGAACGAGGAAUUCCUAGUAAGCACAAGUCAUCAGCUUGUGUUGAUUACGUCCCUGCCCUUUGUACACACCGCCCGUCGCUCCUACCGAUUGAAUGUUCCGGUGAAUACUUCGGACUGCGAAGUUUGCAGUUUCUGUAUGCCUUGCGGAAAGUUGAAUAAACCUUAACAUUUAGAGGAAGGAGAANUCGUANCA
rnacentral:rRNA from 1 species